rnacentral:rRNA from 1 species
AAGAACUUGCCUCUUAGACCGGGACAACAUCUGGAAACGGAUGCUAAUACCGGAUAUUAUGGUUUUUUCGCAUGGAGGAAUCAUGAAAGCUAGAUGCGCUAAGAGAGAGCUUUGCGUCCCAUUAGCUGGUUGGUGAGGUAACGGCCCACCAAGGCAAUGAUGGGUAGCCGGCCUGAGAGGGUGAACGGCCACAAGGGGACUGAGACACGGCCCUUACUCCUACGGGAGGCAGCAGUGGGGA